UACGAGAGGCGCAAACGUUAUUCGGAAUUACUGGGCUUAAAGAGUUCGUAGGCGGCGCAGAAAGUAGGGUGUGAAAGCCCUCGGCUUAACCGAGGAAUUGCGCUCUAAACUACUGUGCUUGAGGGACCUAGAGGUGAGCGGAACUGAUGGUGGAGCGGUGAAAUGCGUUGAUAUCAUCAGGAACACCGGAGGCGAAGGCGGCUCACUGGCCCGAUACUGACGCUGAGGUGCGAAAGCGUGGGGAGCAAACAGG
rnacentral:rRNA from 1 species